CGACCGGGUGAGUAACACGUGACUAACCUACCUUCGAGUGGGGGAUAACCUAGGGAAACCUGGGCUAAUACCGCAUAACAUCUUUGGAGUGGAAAUUCUGGAGAUCAAAGGAGCAAUUCGCUGGAAGAGGGGGUCGCGGCUGAUUAGCUAGUUGGCGGGGUAAUGGCCCACCAAGGCUUUGAUCGGUAGCCGGCCUGAGAGGGCGCACGGCCACACUGGAACUGAAACACGGUCCAG
rnacentral:rRNA from 1 species